rnacentral:rRNA from 1 species
CUGGCUCAGGAUGAACGCUAGCGAUAGGCCUAACACAUGCAAGUCGAGGGGCAUCACAUGAGGUAGCAAUACUGAUGGUGGCGACCGGCGCACGGGUGAGUAACACGUAUGCAACCUGCCUUCAACAAGGGCAUAACCCGUUGAAAGACGGACUAAUUCCCUAUGACACAGGGGUCCCGCAUGGGGAUAUUUGUUAAAGAUUAAUCGGUUGGAGAUGGGCAUGCGUUCCAUUAGCUUGUUGGCGGGGUAACGGCCCACCAAGGCAACGAUGGAUAGGGGAACUGAGAGGUUUAUCCCCCACACUGGUACUGAGACACGGACCAGACUCCUACGGGAGGCAGCAGUGAGGAAUAUUGGUCAAUGGGCGCAAGCCUGAACCAGCCACGUCCGCGUGAAGGGAGACGGCCCUACGGGUUGUAAACUUCUUUGCAAGGGAAUAAAGUUGGCCACGCGUGGCCUUUUGCAUGUACCUUGCGAAUAAGGAUCGGCUAACUCCGUGCCAGCCGCCGC